AUUGAACGCUGGCGGCAGGCUUAACACAUGCAGGUCGAGCGGAGAGAGGUAGCUUGCUACUGAUCUUAGCGGCGGACGGGUGAGUAAUGCUUAGGAAUCUGCCUAUUAGUGGGGGACAACAUUUCGAAAGGAAUGCUAAUACCGCAUACGUCCUACGGGAGAAAGCAGGGGAUCUUCGGACCUUGCGCUAAUAGAUGAGCCUAAGUCGGAUUAGCUAGUUGGUGGGGUAAAGGCCUACCAAGGCGACGAUCUGUAGCGGGUCUGAGAGGAUGAUCCGGCACACUGGGACUGAGACACGGCCCAGACUCCUACGGGAGGCAGCAGUGGGGAAUAUUGGACAAUGGGCGGAAGCCUGAUCCAGCCAUGCCGCGUGUGUGAAGAAGGCCUUAUGGUUGUAAAGCACUUUAAGCGAGGAGGAGGCUACUUUAGUUAAUACCUAGAGAUAGUGGACGUUACUCGCAGAACAAGCACCGGCUAACUCUGUGCCAGCCGCCGCCGUAAGAC
rnacentral:rRNA from 1 species